UACGUAGGGGGCAAGCGUUGUCCGGAAUUACUGGGCGUAAAGCGUGCGCAGGCGGCUUUGCAAGACAGAUGUGAAAUCCCCGGGCUUAACCUGGGAACUGCAUUUGUGACUGCAAGGCUAGAGUACGGUAGAGGGGGAUGGAAUUCCGCGUGUAGCAGUGAAAUGCGUAGAUAUGCGGAGGAACACCGAUGGCGAAGGCAAUCCCCUGGACCUGUACUGACGCUCAUGCACGAAAGCGUGGGGAGCAAACAGG
rnacentral:rRNA from 1 species